rnacentral:tRNA from 1 species
ACUUUAAUAGCUUAUACAGAGUAUUAUAUUGAAGAUAUAAAGGAAAAUUUUAUUUUUAAAGUA